GUGCUCAUUUAGACAGCACAUAUACUAAAAUUGGAACGAUAUAGAGAAGAAUAGCAUGGCCCCUGAAUAAGGAUGACACACAAAUUCGUGAAGUGUUCCAUAUUAAA
rnacentral:snRNA from 1 species